rnacentral:rRNA from 1 species
UACGUAGGGUGCGAGCGUUAAUCGGAAUUACUGGGCGUAAAGGGUGCGCAGGCGGUUGUGCAAGACAGAUGUGAAAUCCCCGGGCUUAACCUGGGAAUUGCAUUUGUGACUGCACGGCUAGAGUGUGUCAGAGGGGGGUAGAAUUCCACGUGUAGCAGUGAAAUGCGUAGAUAUGUGGAGGAAUACCGAUGGCGAAGGCAGCCCCCUGGGAUAACACUGACGCUCAUGCACGAAAGCGUGGGGAGCAAACAGG